rnacentral:lncRNA from 1 species
AGUCCUUCGCCGUCCCUCGCCGUCCUUCGCCAUCGCACGCCACCGCACCCCAUCUCUCGAAAUCUGCAGACAUCUUGAUUUUUCCCACGCUGUCUGUCAGGUCUCCGCCGCCACUCGACGCCAGGGCGCCGGGCCUUGUGGGCUGUGCUGCACCUCGGACGGCUUCGCACCAGCCAGCGCCCUCUCUCUCCUGCAGCACUCUGAUCUGCACCCCCUGAGGGGCUUCCACUGUCCGCGGGGUGAGAAUGCCCCUGGGAGUGUCACAUGACUGCCGCCCCAUGUGUGUGAGAGGCGUCCUCUGGGAGAGCAUGGAUCCUGAGGUCCCAGGAUUGUCAGCUGACCUCUGUCCUGUGUGCCCAGUGGCCCCAGGUGACGUGUCUUCAAGAAGAGGCUGAGCUGCGGUGCUUGUAAGUCAUGUGCUGUUCCUGGGGCUUGGAUGAUGUAGGGGAAGCAAGGUGAAAGUGGUAUCCCGUGGUUCCACGUUCUGUCCUGCUGUGGGGCUGUCCCUCACAUGCUUUCAGUGGCUGUUGCAGAGGAAGAGCCUCCGGAAAUCUGCGUGGGUCUCAGCCUUAGAUCCAAGGACAGUCCAAGGAAGUCCUAAGACCAUGGAGUUGGUGAUCUGGGAUCUGGGUUUGCUGAUAUUUCUCACCGUGAAUCUCUUGGUGGUGUUUGUGGGCACGAGAGGGGCAGAGAAUGGAGAGUGAGGCUACCACAUGAAGCGUCACCAGAGCUGCUCCCUGCUGCCUGCUCAGAGCACCCCGGAUCCACUGUUCAAUCUGCACAAGAUUCGGGGUCCAGACAUGGGAGACUUCAGCUGCCUCAGAGGACCGUGGACAGGGAAGGCCAGCCUCGCAUCCCUCUGUCCAUGCCUGGAAUGACUUUAAUAACCAAGAGUUUUAUUUUUGAAUUUGUAGCUGUCGUUCACUUUUUACCCACCCAUUCAAUAAACCUUACAGAAUUGCUCCA